CCAGGUCCGGAGCGGGUGGCGAGGGGUUGCUGACACACGUGGGGCGACGGCUCGAGAGGCAGGGAAGCGGCCCAGGGCCCCGCCCGCCCGCAUGACUCCCGAGCUGGCCGCGAGGGUGGGGAGAGACCAACAGCCCUCACCGAGGGAGGCCGCGGCCGCCAGGGGGAGGUGGCUGCGUGGGGGCAGUAACGGGAGAGGGGGCCCGAGGUAGGAGAGAGUGGGGGGUGGGGGGUGGGGUGGGGGGAUGGGGAGGGCGGGGUCGGCUGCCCUCCCCCGAAGGCUUUACAAAGCGUGCACACCAGCCCCGGGCUGUGGUCGGCAAGAGCGUGAGCCGCCACUGCCGAGGUGCCUCCAGCGUCCCCAGGUUGUGUAACUAUCCAGAAACACACGAUAGAGUCCUCUUUCAGCAAGUAUUCUUGGUUAAGUCAUGAAAAUGGAGCUUGUUUUCCCCCUUUGUAUGGUAAGUAACUACUAAUAUGGAUAGUUCUAAUCUUCUCACAAUAUUAAAAACAAAUGGAACUACUUCUUGUGUGAAGAUGGCAUGACUUCUAAUAUCUAGAUUUGCCAUCAGUGUGUUUCAUAGAAAAGAGAAUGUUCAAUUUAUUCGUUCAGUUGUGGUUUGUGUCAAUGUGAAAUAUAUAUUAUCUGUUUUAGAAUUUUGAGUCAUUUUGUUCUAUGUAUGAGUCUUGGUCAUUAAAAUAAAAGAAUUCUUCUACUCGCUUUAUAAACAAUGUUAAGAUUCUUUAGAGUAGCAUCUUGUGCAGAAAAUUGACAUGUGGAUGCUGAAAAGUCAUGGCCACAAACAAGGAAGAUUUAGAAAUGCCAGAUCUGUGCCGUGGCAUUUCUGUUCAUCCCAGAUGCUCUAGUUUGGAGCAUCCACCCCUUUGGCCUAGGAACUGACUGCCUAAUUGGAAAAACUUAUUAUCACUUUGCAAGCAAGCGAUUAGAACUCAGUCAUCC
rnacentral:lncRNA from 1 species